rnacentral:lncRNA from 1 species
CGCCAUUUUGCUUCUACCACCUGGUUCAAAACCGUCCCGGUGGGUUUCUGUACCGACCCAGGAGGUUCUACCGUCCGGUACCGGCUGAGCAGGAGCGGAAAGGACCUGUUUGUUCCGGAGAUCGACCUCCAGCUGCUGGACUGUUUCUGAGAUAAAGACUUUAUUUGUUUUUACAGAUUAAACCGACAGAGAGAGAGAGAGAGAGAGACACCGACGCAGGGAGAGAGAGAGAAAGAGAGACGUAGACGGACAGAGAGAGAGAGAGAGAGAGAGAGGUCAACGUAAACGGACGGAGUUACCGGAUAAUGUCUCGAAAUAACGGACUCAAACCGGGUUUAUUGUCCUUAUUUCACGGUCUGCCUUCGUCUCCGCAGGACCGGGACCGUCGGCCCUGCCGGCCCCGGGUGUGUGGGUGUCCCGGCGGGGCUCGGUAGGACAGCAGCCCGGUUCCCAGCGCUUAUGUUCGGUCACAUUUUAGACGAUAGUGGUGCUUUUUUUUUAACCUUUAUUCACGUGUAUCAGCCUGAGACGUGAUGGGGGCCGCUUUAAUGCAGAAAAGGUAAAAAUAAAGAUUUUUAAAAACACGAAUAACUGCGGUGAGAGACAGGAAACCCUCCCGGAACCAGACAAAGGAUCCGCCAUGAUGGAGCAGCUGCCCAGUCACGGAGGUGAAGACUUCAGUCAUAACCGAGAGUCAGAUUAAACAGAUAAUAACCUGUAUAAAACAAGAUUAAUGUGGACACAGGAGAGGAGGAGCGUGUGUGAGAGUCUUUAUAACAGGAUCUUUAGGAGAGGGAGAGAGGGAGCAGGACUAAACUGUCAGAGGAAGACAAUCUCCGUGUUCCCGCCCUAUAGGAUGUUUCCAUGGUGACGCGUUAAAUCAUAGGGAAACUGACGUCACACGGUACCGCCGACCUCUCGCGGAACGUGACAAUAAAACGUACUGUAACGGUUACAGUUAUGGUUAUAGUAACGGUUACAGCAAGUAAUGGUAACUGUUACAGUUACGGCUGUUGUUACAGACACAGUAAGAGCGAUAAUUACAGUUACAGUAACAAGAUAUAAUUACAGUUACAGUAACAAUAUAAUUACAGUAACAGGUCUAUAAUUCUGGUCAAUAUUAAGUGUCUUCAGAGCAGAUCCACAACCCUCUCUUUAACCGCUGCUUCUUUGUCCAAAGUUAUCGGUUCGAAUGGAGCGACAUGAUCGAGUAUCAAACGUGAACCACAUAUUUUUCUAGUCAUUAAUAAAACUGUUGUCUUGAAUUUAAAUAAAUGUAAAUGUGACAGGCUCUGUUUAUGACAUUUUCCAUUUUCCACGAUAGUCUGAAAAGCACCUCGAAUCUCACUCAAGCUAAUGCUAACAUUAGCUUGUCAGAAGUCAGGAAUGUACGAUUUGACCCGUAGGUUACUGACAUUGUAGUGAAUGAAACGGAAGUGAGAUGACUAAUGAUGUUCAUGAGAAUAAACAUGAAAAUAUACGAGAAAAACACAGAAAAUAUCAGAUUAAUCGUCUCUGCAGACACAGACUGUAACAUUCAGGGGUCAGAAUCAUCGCAGAGGAAUGAAGAGUAUCAAAGUGGGACCAAUCACUGUGAUAGUGGGAAAGUAUGAUAUUUUGGUAGAAUAAACCGGAAAUAUUAGAGGUAGGCAGACAAAAAGUAAAAAUAUGAUAAGUUUAAAAAAAAAUGUAAAAUUGAUCAAAUCUAGAUCAAUAUCUAAAUAUGUGACUGUGGGCACUGAUUUAAUUUUAAAAUAAAUUUAAAAUCCACAUUCAUUCACAAAAUCCAAAGACUUUUUAUUUUGAUUGGAUAAUAAUAUGUGACUCAGUCACUUAUUUAUUUAUUCACUUGUUUAUUAAAUUACAUUUCUGGAUGUGGAACGGCGGCGAAGAAGAGGGUCGUGGAUCUGCUUGGCUCUCCGGCUCUGUACUCACUACUAUUGGACACGUUAAACGACAAGGAAACUGACAUCACACGGUACCGCCGACCUCUCGCAGGACAUGACGAUAAAACGGUUUCAGUAACGGUUUCAGUGAGUAAUGGUAACUGUUACAGUCAUGGCUGUUGUUUAUAUAAACUGUUACAGCAUCUAUUAAAAUAACAACUCUAGCUGUUCACAGCAACUGUUAUAGUUUAGUAACCAUAGUAACGGUUAAAGUAAAUGACAGUUCCAGUCACAGUAUCAGCUGAGGAGGGUUUGAUAGUCUGCUCACACCAACAGUUAGUAUAUUGUGAUGCAGGUGAGUCUUUACUGUGAAAAGGCGUCUGAUGAAGCUCGGUAACGAAAUCGGUGGAUCAUAUUCAGGGUUUGGGGGCCACCAUGUUGGAUCCGAGUCUCUCCUUCACCUCAGUGACGCGAACAUGAGGAACGGACUCAAAGAUGGAACUUUAGCCCUGAGAAUACCUUUACCUGCGAUCAGACAUUAAAAACACCUUCAUCAUCACCUGUGUGUGUGUGUGUGUGUGUGUGUCAGGUGUGUGUGUGUGUGUGUGUGUCAGGUGUGUGUGUGUCUCCGUACCUGUUUGGAUUCUGGUGUGUGGUUCUGUAAAGAUGUUUUAUUUAUUGUUACAUAAAUCCUGAAAUCAGAGCGCAGCAGUGCGAGAGUCAAGAUCAGAAUCUUUGGAGGGCGCCGGACCUCGAGGAGGCGGACCUUUGACAGACUUAUUGAUCUUCAAGGUAACUUGUUUUUAUCACAGAAACAAUCACCAGCUGCUGCCGUAAGAAACCAGACGGAUCAGAAUUAUUCCAGAAUACGCUCUAAUGUUGGGGGUUAUUCUGAAAUAUUGAUCAUGAUUUCAUUGGAGCUUCAUCUAGAAAACUGAAAAUUAAAACAUGAUCAGAAUUAUACGACCCUUCCGGUGACACAUGAACCCUAAAGUAACUGCAGUGUUACCUGUGCAGGUGUGAGUCCCCACUCAGAGGCAGUCCAGGCUAGUUUUACACCUGAGUGGGAACGCAACAUGAGACUCACUCACUCACCGCCGCAGUCACAGAUUGAUCCCCGCUGGCUGACCCCUCCCCCUAACCUUUCUUUUGACAGUGAGUGACACACAACCUUCGUACGUAAGAGGGGCACCAGAGCACCAUGGGAAAAAAACGCCUCUGUCCCUACAGGUAGGAUUAAACACACCUGAUCAGCUGUUAAGGUUACCAUGGUAACACCGACAGCAGAAAUAGGAAAUAGACAGGUAACACUCAGCAACUUCUACUCCACACAGUGGUGUGUGUGUGUGUGUGUGUGUGUGUGUGUGUGUGUGUGUGUGUGUGGUUUAGCCUGCUGACAGAGACUGAACCUCUUACCUGAGCUCAGGUUUGAGCAGGUGAGAAGACUGAGACUGAAAACUCAGGAACCAGACUGUUCAGGGUGAGAGUCAAACUUUUCUGAACCUUCGCUGGUUCACAGGAGCGAGCGCCGGUCUCUCCUGAAGACGCACUUCCUGCUGCAGGUUCAGACGAAACUCUGAGAUCUGUAAAGAUUCUUACCGACUGUGUCAGAACACAUGAUCAAUGACAUACCUGAUCAAUAACAUACCUGAUCAAUAAAACAUAAGUUACCUGAUCAAUGACACAUAUGUUACCUGAUCAAUGACAUACCUGAUCAAUGACAUACCUGAUCAAUAAAACAUAAGUUACCUGAUCAAUGACUCAUUACCGAGCUGAUUAGUGAUUUAUUAAACCACACAAAUGUGAUCAAUAACCUUUAUCAUUGAUCUGGUAUCAGUGAGUGUCUGGGCUGAUCGUGUCGUUCAGGUGUGUCUCACCUGGAUCUUACCUGCUCCGUACAGGUGAGACGGAUCUUUGAGGCCCUGCAGCGGUCAUGUGACCAGAGUCUGGUCAUGAAGGUCACAUGAUGAAUCCAGAUCGUCGCCAGCUCGCUGUGGUCACAUGAUCACACCAGUGUUUCCCUCGGCGCCAGAUCAUCAGUCUAACAUGUUCAGAUUUAAAGGACUGUGAUCAUGUGACCACAGCGGCUCUUAAAGGGGCAGUUCACCGUUUUUACCGUGUUUGUCACCUACAGAGGAUCCUGCUCAGCUCCGCCCCUUUAACCACGAACUGGUCAGUGCUUCAGGAUGUCUUUAUUUGGGCCACAGGGCACUGGUCCCGAAAGUCUAGGGGCCCUAAACUAAAGUGUAGGGGCCCUAAAGUAAAGUGUAGGGGCCCUACAGUAAAGUGUAGGGGCCCUAAACUAAAGUGUAGGGGCCCUAAAGUAAAGUGUAGGGGCCCUAAACUAAAGUGUAGGGGCCCUACAGUGAAGUGUAGGGGCCCUAAAGUAAAGUGUAGGGGCCCUAAAGUAAAGUGUAGGGGCCCUAAACUAAAGUGUAGGGGCCCUAAAGUAAAAUGUCGGGGCCCUAAACUAAAGUGUAGGGGCCCUACAGUAAAGCGUAGGGGCCGGUGCCUCAGGUUAUUCCGUAGAUUGUUUCUAAUUUUUCUUCCAGACAAACUCAGAUCGGCUCUCAGUCCUGCAGCUUCAAGAAUUGUGGGAAUAAUGAAAUAUGAAAAUGUUUAAUUGAACUCUGUGUUUUUGUUUUUUUUUCUCUAUUGUCUGAAUUUUUUGUAAAUAAGUGGAAAAAUGUUCCUCUUCAGGUCGGCGGGACGAGCCAAAACUAAAAAGAGUGAUUAUUGGAGUUUUCCAAACGUCUGUCGAUCCGUUUUUUUUUUCUGUUGUAAAAAUAAAAACUUGAAGCUGGACUGUUUGUUGUCGGUGUGCUCCUUUAAAAAAGAUUACAAAGCUGCCAAUAUUAAAGUUAUUGAUUAUUAGAAUGUUCUGAAGAACCUCAUCGUUAUGUUCUCGCUCUGACAGGAACCUUCCAAAAUCACCCAGAGGAG